rnacentral:lncRNA from 1 species
AUCCUGUUUCACUUAAAAAUACAUCACUUUAAGUAAAAUGGGUUGAUUGUUCAGAGAUUACAAUGAGAAAUGUAUAUUAUCACUAUGAAAUGAGGAUAGUGGAGAUUUUGUAGCCGAUUCAGCCAUUGCAAAAAAAUCAUCCAAAAGUGACACAACUGCGAACUCCAAAACACGAUUCCAUUAAAAAUCUCAGGUCAGAUGAGUUGAAUCGAGUCCAUGUGAUUGGGACACUGGGAUGUUCUUGUGCCCAAAGAGCGCCAGAUCUUAUCAGGGUAUGUGUGCAGUAUGAUAAUAUUGACUUGACCGGCUUGGUCUUCAACAAAGCAUUUCUGCCUGGCAUCCCCUUGUUUGAGUCCAGCAAACCCUCUGUGCAGUCGCUGUGUUGACUCUGUGACACAUUCCCAAGCACUCGGGUCGCAUCAAGCUUUAGGCUGCUUUUGGAUUUAGGUUCCAGCUGACUACACUUUUGUUUUUGAAUUCCAAGAAAUUUGCCACUUUCAGAUGUGACAAUACAGGAUAAGGUCCAUUAGGUGGAAAACUCACAGGAAGUGUUUACUCGUUGUGCAAAAUGCUAGCAAAACUGCACAUAUGUUAAUAGCUGAGGAAACUGAUACAAUGAUGGAAAUUGGUCUUCUCAACAGACUAUCCUGGUUCAGACCUGGUAUCCCAUCACCGUCGCGACAAACUCAAGAGAACAGAAGAAGAUUCUGGCCAAAUAUCUCAUGGAAACGUCAGGAAGCCUGGAAGGACUGGAAUAUAAACUGCAUGACUUCGGCUACAGAGGGGUUUCAUCGCAAGAGACGGCUGGUAUCGGCGCAUCUGCACACUUGGUAAACUUCAAAGGAACAGACACCGUGGCCGGGAUCGGUGUAAUCAAGAAGUACUACGGCACCAAAGACCCGGUUCCUGGUUUCUCAGUACCAGCUGCAGAACACAGGUGGAACAACUUGGAGCUAAGAGCUUGAUGAUAGUAAAUCGCAUAGCUUGAAGGAAUAGAUCACUCAAAAGCAAUGUGAACUUGCCUGGAGGGUUUCCUUUUACUGUGUCAUAAGAUGAUGUGGCCCAAUGCAUUCUGGGUAGUCGGUGCCGCAUUAUCACACUUCUCAUUCCCUGCCCUGUACCAGGAGCUGAAAGCACCGUUACAU